rnacentral:lncRNA from 1 species
ACAUAUUUGUAAUAAGCCCAAUUUACCCGGGCCUACAUGCAUAAACCAAGUAAAUAAAUAAAUAAAGUCCAGUUUUUUUACAAAGCCCAACAAGCAGCCCAACUACAUCUAAAACCCAAAAUGGCCCAAACAUUAACCCAAACUUAGCCUAAAAAACUACAGCAGAAACCCUAGGCAGAAAAACCACCAGCUGCCGCAACUGCCGCAACUGCCGCCCCUUUUUGCGCGCCUCCGUCGUAGCACCCACCCCGCGCACGUCACGCACGAACCUACAGCAACAAACAGCCAACGACUACAGUAAAAUAACGAAAAAGAGGGGAUUUUCUAUUUUUUAUUUUUUUAUUUUCAUUGUUAUUUUCGGCUAUUUAAAAGCCGAUUAAAAUAUGUAAAUGGGGGGAUUUUUUGAGUGUAAAGGAUAGAGACGAAAAUAGAGGAGAAAUACAGAGAAAAUACAGAUCGAGCUUGUUUUUUUACAAAGGUUUUUACUUUGCAGUGCCCAUUCUUCCUAUUUACAUAUAUAUGUUUUUUUUAUUUUCAUUUUACUUCAUUUAACAUAUAAAGAAAGGGGAAGGACUUACCUUAGUCAUCGGAGUCGUUGAGUCGAUGCCACCUCCGUCGCAAUCGAGGUAGGGGCGUAGGCGGAGGCCAAGGUACGGCCUUGACUGAG